rnacentral:misc_RNA from 1 species
AACAAGGCGUACCUGCGGACCUGCGGAGGGAUCAUUAAAAAACAUUUUGCCCUCGCGACCUCCGCGGUCCGAGGCAAAAGAACCCACACUGUGUGCACCGUUACAGUUUUCUUUGGCAGGGGCUUGGGGUUGUGUUUCUUGCACACCUCAACUUCUCCUCUGGCUCCAUCCCAAUGUAUGUUGGAACAGCCGGACAUGGGAAGCCGUAUCCUGCCAAGUGACCUAAAUCACUCUUUUUUG